AAACCAUUAUUAUUUCCAGAUGUGGCAUGUGAGGACAAGGUUAAAUGGUGAGCCUUUAAUUGUGUUAUUGAGCAUGCAAGUCGAGCCAAAUGUAGCAACUUUUGUUGUUAGUGUGAAGGUUUCUGAGUCACAAUUGGGCUGUGGGAAUGGGGGACUCAUGUGUCCAGUGAACAGCAUCACUGAUGGAAAUUCACAUUCUUUUCCAACAUCAUAUUUUUAUUAAAGAAAUAGAAACCCUAAUACUUGG
rnacentral:misc_RNA from 1 species